CUGAAAUCUCAGUUCAUGCUCCUUUACUUCUUGU
rnacentral:sRNA from 1 species